UGUGAAAACAAACCUAAAGCUGAAAACUGAAAACAGAUGAUCUAGACCAUUGAAUUUUCAUCUGACGGAUUAGAUUACAUUCGCGUUAUUUGUAAUCUUGACCGUCCAUUCUCUCUGCUCUAUUUUUAUCUUUCUUCAAUCUCACGAUAUCACUGGUUCUCUAUCCUUCUCCCAAAAAAUCAUCAAAUUUCAGAGGAAUUUGCUUCAAUCUUCAUCAAUAAUUUGCUUCAAUCUUCAUCAAUUUCGUCUUUAGCUUCAAAAUUAAACCUGAAAAGUGAGUUUUGCGUUUCAACAAUCAAUUAUGUGAGUUAAUCAUUUUCGUCGCUGAAUAUUCAUCCCAUUGAAGCGAGUUUUGAGCUUUCUCGAUCCUCCAUUGAAGCGAGUUUGAGCUUUCUUCUCCAUUGAAGCGGCUUCUCAGGUAGUAUUUCUUAAAUUAUCGACUAUCAAUUUCACAAUCUAGGGUUUAUUUCUAGUUAAUUGCUCGAAUGUUUUUGUUAUGAAAUAUAAAUUGUUGUUUGGAUUCGAAAUUUGUUGAAUAGCAUGCGAAUUUUGUCGAUUCAAGCAUUUAAUUGUUUUUAGAUUUUAUGUGUCAUGUAUUGUGAGUUUGUGACCCUUGAAUUUAUGUAAAAUUGGGGGAUUAGAGCAAUCUUGAGCUCUUCAUUGUGCCUUUUGCUUGGUCGGUUUGUUGUCACGGAUUCAUGGGGGAAUUCGAGUAGUUUAGCAUCUGUUUCUUGUGAUUGUACUGCCUUGCAUUUUGAUGCAGAGUAAAGAUGAGAAAUAGGGUUACAUUUUUGGGAACUAGCAAGCUGAACUUGGUGAAAUUGUAUAAUUUCUUGGAUUAUAUUUUCUUUAUGUUUAGUACUUUUAAGGCUUUAUAAAGAGGCUUCCAUUGCAAAUAUUAAACAGAUUUCUACAUGUGAAGGAGACAGAAAAUUGAAGUAUGGCGAUCAUCAUGGUUUUCUCGUAAUUACACUUAUUGACACGCCAAGAGCUUAUGCUGAUCUCAAAUCUGAGGAACUUGGUCAGGGUGAAGCUAUAGCUCAAAACAUAAGGUCUAUGUUUGGACUGAGAGUUCCUGUCAUCUCAAUAGUCACCGGUGAAGGUGGUUUUGGGGGAGCUCUGGCCAUCUGUUGCUGCAAUAAAUUGUUUAUGCUUGAGAAUCCUGCUUUCUAUGUUGCUAGGUUUUCUUCGCAUCUAUUGUCUAUUUUUGGUUUCUUAUUAUUAUUCAAAUUCCUUCAUCAUUUUCCAAUACAUGCUUACCUUAUUAUUUC